rnacentral:rRNA from 1 species
AUACGUAGGGUGCGAGCGUUGUCCGGAAUUACUGGGCGUAAAGAGCUCGUAGGUGGUUUGUCGCGUCGUCUGUGAAAUUCCGGGGCUUAACUCCGGGCGUGCAGGCGAUACGGGCAUAACUUGAGUACUGUAGGGGAGACUGGAAUUCCUGGUGUAGCGGCGAAAUGCGCAGAUAUCAGGAGGAACACCGGUGGCGAAGGCGGGUCUCUGGGCAGUAACUGACGCUGAGGAGCGAAAGCAUGGGUAGCGAACAGGAUUAGAUACCCUGGUAGUCCAUGCUGUAAACGGUGGGCGCUAGGUGUAGGGGUCUUCCACGACUUCUGUGCCGUAGCUAACGCAUUAAGCGCCCCGCCUGGGGAGUACGGCCGCAAGGCUAAAACUCAAAGGAAUUGACGGGG